GGGAUAACAGUUAGAAAUGGCUGCUAAUACCGCAUAAGCACACAGCUUCGCAUGGAGCAGUGUGAAAAACUCCGGUGGUAUGAGAUGGACCCGCGUCUGAUUAGCUAGUUGGUAAGGUAACGGCUUACCAAGGCGACGAUCAGUAGCCGACCUGAGAGGGUGACCGGCCACAUUGGGACUGAGACACGGCCCAAACUCCUACGGGAGGCAGCAGUGGGGAAUAUUGCACAAUGGGGGAAACCCUGAUGCAGCGACGCCGAGUGAGUGAAGAAGUAUCUCGGUAUGUAAAGCUCUAUCAGCAGGGAAGAAAAUGACGGUACCUGACUAAGAAGCCCCGGCUAACUACGUGCCAGCAGCCGCGGUAAUACGUAGGGGGCAAGCGUUAUCCGGAUUUACUGGGUGUAAAGGGAGCGUAGACGGCGGAGCAAGUCUGAAGUGAAAGCCCGGGGCUCAACCCCGGGACUGCUUUGGAAACUGUUCUGCUAGAGUGCUGGAGGGGUAAGUGGAAUUCCUNGUGUNGCGGUGNNNUGCGUNGNUNUUNGGAGGNNCCCCCGUGGCGNNGGCGGCUUNCUGGNCCGUNNCUGNCGUUGNGGCUCGNNNGCGUGGGGCGCCCCCAAAGGUCCUNCCNNNUNNUCCNCNCCNNNNNCGCCCAUUAAGGUGUGGAGGGCAAAGCCCUUGGGGCCGCCGCAAACGCAAUAAGCCUUCCCCCUGGGGAGUAGGUUCGCCAGAAUGAAAAUCAAAAGAAAUGACGGGGCCCCGCACCAGCGGGGGAGCAUUUGGUUUAUUUGAAGCAACGCGAAGAACCCUACCAAGUCUUGGCAUCCCCCCGACCGGACAGUAAUGUGUCCUUUCCUUCGGGACCGGGGAGACAGGUGGUGCAUGGUUGUCGUCAGCUCGUGUCGUGAGAUGUUGGGUUAAGUCCCGCAACGAGCGCAACCCUUAUCCUUAGUAGCCAGCAGUAAGAUGGGCACUCUAGGGAGACUGCCAGGGAUAACCUGGAGGAAGGUGGGGAUGACGUCAAAUCAACAUGCCCCUUAUGAUUUGGGCUACACACGUGCUACAAUGGCGUAAACAAAGAGAAGCGAGCCUGCGAGGGGGAGCGAAUCUCAAAAAUAACGUCCCAGUUCGGACUGUAGUCUGCAACCCGAAUACACGAAGCUGGAAUCGCUAGUAAUCGCGGAUCUGA
rnacentral:rRNA from 1 species